rnacentral:rRNA from 1 species
AGAGUUUGAUCCUGGCUCAGAGCGAACGUUAGCGGCGGGCUUAACACAUGCAAGUCGAACGAGAAUGAGGGAGCAAUCCUUCUAGUAAAGUGGCGGACGGGUGCGUAACACGUGGAUAAUCUACCUUCCGGCGGGGGACAACAGUUCGAAAGGACUGCUAAUACCGCGUACGUCGGCGAGGGCUCCGGCCCUUGUCGAGAAAGAUGGCCAAUCCUUGGAAGCUGUCACCGGAAGAUGAGUCCGCGGCCCAUCAGGUAGUUGGUGAGGUAACGGCUCACCAAGCCUAAGACGGGUAGCUGGUCUGAGAGGAUGAUCAGCCACACUGGGACUGCGACACGGCCCAGACUCCUACGGGAGGCAGCAGUGGGGAAUAUUGGGCAAUGGGCGAAAGCCUGACCCAGCCACGCCGCGUGAGUGAUGAAGGCCUUCGGGUCGUAAAGCUCUGUGGGGAGGGACGAAUAAGCCGGCCAACUACCGGCCCUGACGGUACCUCCUUAGCAAGCACCGGCUAACCAUGUGCCAGCAGCCGCGGUAAUACAUGGGGUGCAAACGUUGCUCGGAAUUAUUGGGCGUAAAGCGCGCGUAGGCGGUUGCUUAAGUCAGAUGUGAAAGCCCUCGGCUUAACCGAGGAAGUGCAUCUGAGACUGAGCAGCUAGAGUAUGAAAGAGGGUCGCGGAAUUCCCGGUGUAGAGGUGAAAUUCGUAGAUAUCGGGAGGAACACCGGCGGCGAAGGCGGCGACCUGGUUCAAGACUGACGCUGAGGCGCGAAAGCGUGGGGAGCAAACAGGAUUAGAUACCCUGGUAGUCCACGCCGUAAACGAUGGAUGCUAGAUGUUUCUGGUAUUGACCCCGGAGGCGUCGUAGCUAACGCGUUAAGCAUCCCGCCUGGGGAGUACGGCCGCAAGGCUAAAACUCAAAGGAAUUGACGGGGGCC